AAAAACCCAUUUUUUGUGCAGCACGUCUGCAUGAGCGCUACAGAUGUUAUCUGCUCUGCACUCUUAAGGAAAACCCUAGAAACGUCUCUCCCCACGUUGCACUUGCACCCGCUCGGUCCGGUCGUGACCACCCACGCCCCUCCCCGGCGGGUCAGCUACGUGACUCACAGCUCCCAGCUCCGGCUGACAGGAGCCUGCCCUCACCAUCUAACCGCUCCACGAACUCAGGACAAUGACUCACGCGACAAUGGAUGCUCACCUAAAUGAAUGGAUAAAGAAGAAAGAUGGUGGCCUCGGGCUACUCACUGAUUCGCGCCGGAGAAAGUGGGGAAAGAGUGAGAUGGAAAGAACACUGCAGAAGGACUGCAGCCUUUAGAACACAGACUGACUGCUCAGCCAGGUGUCAUGAAGCUUCUGACAGCAGAUAACUGACCUGACAAAUUAAAAAGGCUCCACUUUAAGGUGUGGAGCCAGUUCGGCCUUGGUGACUCAUGAGAGCUGGCCUACAUUUCAGCAGAUAUUCCAGUCGCAGGGCAUCAUGAAGGAAAACCAGGGUCAACAUGAGGUGCUCCAGUGUAAUCCUCACCUGGUUACAGUCUGUUGGCUGUGAUUCAGCGGAUGGAGAUGCAUAUUUUUGUCAGCUAUCUCUGUUUCAGUGAAUUUAAGCAGCCUAGAGUCUCUAAUGACGCUGGCCAGGUGCCUCCGUUUACAGUAUGUGGAAGAUAAGAGAUUUAUGAGAUUUCACAUCUCUUAAUAUAACCAAUACUCCAUCAAACAGCAGCCAGCUUUUUAAACAAAGUGUCUGCCUUUUUGGA